GUAGGUGGCAAGCGUUGUCCGGAAUCAUUGGGCGUAAAGCGCGCGCAGGCGGUCCUUUAAGUCUGAUGUGAAAGCCCACGGCUCAACCGUGGAGGGUCAUUGGAAACUGGGGGACUUGAGUACAGAAGAGGAAAGCGGAAUUCCAAGUGUAGCGGUGAAAUGCGUAGAGAUUUGGAGGAACACCAGUGGCGAAGGCGGCUUUCUGGUCUGUAACUGACGCUGAGGCGCGAAAGCGUGGGGAGCAAACAGGGAUUAGAUACCCUGGUAGUCCACGCCGUAAACGAUGAGUGCUAAGUGUUAGGGGGUUUCCGCCCCUUAGUGCUGCAGCUAACGCAUUAAGCACUCCGCCUGGGGAGUACAGCCGCAAGGCUG
rnacentral:rRNA from 1 species